AUUGAACGCUGGCGGCAUGCUUUACACAUGCAAGUCGAACGGUAACAGGCCGCAAGGUGCUGACGAGUGGCGAACGGGUGAGUAAUGCAUCGGAACGUGCCCAGUCGUGGGGGAUAACGCAGCGAAAGCUGCGCUAAUACCGCAUACGAUCUAUGGAUGAAAGCGGGGGACCGUAAGGCCUCGCGCGAUUGGAGCGGCCGAUGUCAGAUGAGGUAGUUGGUGGGGUAAAGGCUCACCAAGCCAACGAUCUGUAGCUGGUCUGAGAGGACGACCAGCCACACUGGGACUGAGACACGGCCCAGACUCCUACGGGAGGCGGCAGUGGGGAAUUUUGGACAAUGGGCGCAAGCCUGAUCCAGCAAUGCCGCGUGCAGGAAGAAGGCCUUCGGCUUGUAAACUGCUUUUGUACGGAACGAAACGGCUCUGGUUAAUACCUGGGGCUAAUGACGGUACCGUAAGAAUAAGCACCGGCUAACUACGUGCCAGCCGCCGCCGUAA
rnacentral:rRNA from 1 species